UACGGAGGAUCCGAGCGUUAUCCGGAUUUAUUGGGUUUAGAGGGAGCGUAGGCGGGUUGUUAAGUCAGUUGUGAAAGUUUGCGGCUCAACCGUAAAAUUGCAGUUGAUACUGGCAUCCUUGAGUACAGUAGAGGUAGGCGGAAUUCGUGGUGUAGCGGUGAAAUGCUUAGAUAUCACGAAGAACUCCGAUUGCGAAGGCAGCCUGCUGGACUGUAACUGACGCUGAUGCUCGAAAGUGUGGGUAUCAAACAGG
rnacentral:rRNA from 1 species